ACUCCCUCAUCAUAAGAACAUAACCACAAGGCUCCUUUCUCCGGAUUGCUCACUGAGAUUAUUGGAAUGCUAGAAGAACUCUUUUCAAGUCUAGAUAAACGAUAGCUCUUGUUUCCAAAAAAAGCAAGAAGAAAUCACAAAACAUAUAAUUACUGAGUCAAAAAUAUCAAAACCACAAACGAAACUAAUAAAGCUAGCAUCACCGCACCAUUCUCCUAACAAAUUGAUCGAAAAAAACAGCAUAGCAACCAAAAAACUUACUGAAAUUUAAACUUUUUGUUUUAAGCUGAAAUUAGAAGUAAAAAGUUAGGCACCAAUAAGAGUUCUUCCUGAAUAUCUAACCAUACGUCCCUAGAAAAACAGUGGGUUGAAAUAUCAGUUAAACAUACAAAGCCCGACGUUCAUUUCUAUAAAUGUCGAACCACAUGUACAUGACCAAACCAGACCUAUGUUAUCAAGGUUCCUUCCCAUAAAUGUCUGUCUAUAAAAAAACGAGUUGAGUAAGUAGAAAUUUUUUAUUCUCAAUCAGACCUAAUUGGCAGACACAGACCAAACUACUGAUCAAGAUGACUGGCCAACUUUAAUCUAUCUACUUAACAAAUAUAUUUUUUAAAAGAAUUAGCCAAAAAAAAACUCCAAAUAGAUACUUGACAAUCAACCCACUAAAUGGAUUUUCAAAAUAAAAAGGAAAACAGAGAAAGGUGCAAACAUUGAGAUUCAAUUAUUUUGUUUUCUGAUCUAAUCUUUGUGUUCAAAACGCCAAAAGAAAGAUUGGCAGGAUUGAAACUCCCUACAGAAUGAUAAUCACUAAAAUCUUAUUGUUAUACCCAUAAGGAAAUAAUUUCUGCUCAAACCCCAAAUAUAUCCCUCACAUCAAAGCAUUUAACCCUUGGAAUCUCAAAGAGAGUUUAUUUGCAUUGGUAUUAUGAUAUGAAAUGACAAAAUCUUUGGAAAACCAAUAAGCCGAAAGGAGUCGCUUAAUCACUCUUCAGACUCCACACCAUGAUGUUUAGUUAUUAAAGAUCAAAAUUCAUAUUCUUAUAUUCCUCACAAAUCAAUUCCAGAAAAAUCAAACAACAUACCAUGGCACUAACUUGGAACAACACAGAAUCAGAAAUUAUAAAAAAAGAAGCCAAGCGAACCCCUUCACAGUCCCUUUCAGAUUCUAGUGAGAAGAUUAUGGUCAUCCAAACGUCAAGCGCCUGCGACCUUCAACUGGACAAGGAAAUUUAGAGAGAUAAUUGGAAUGGAAGGCUGAGAUUAAGUUAUACCCUCACUUAUGUUCCUAUUUGGAUUAGAAAUUUGAAAAGCUCUUUCCUCUUGUGGGAAUAGUAUUCGUUGCA
rnacentral:lncRNA from 1 species